UGGUUCUGGCAUCGAUGAAGAACGCAGCGAAAUGCGAUAAGUAAUGUGAAUUGCAGAAUUCAGUGAAUCAUCGAAUCUUUGAACGCACAUUGCGCCCGCCAGUAUUCUGGCGGGCAUGCCUGUCCGAGCGUCAUUUCAACCCUCAAGCCCCAGCGGCUUGGUGUUGGGGGACCGGCGACCUCGCCCGCACCUGCCUGGCCCCAGGUGCUGGGCGUCCGCCGCCCCCCGAAAUGAAUCGGCGGCCUCGUCGCGGCCUCCCCUGCGUAGUAGCACAAACCUCGCAACGGGAGCGCGACGCGGCCACCGCCGUAAAACGCCCAACUUUUUCAGAGUUGACCUCGGAUCAGGUAGGAAUACCCGCUGA
rnacentral:misc_RNA from 1 species